GGAAAAUUAGUUAAAGAAUAACAUAUGCUUGUCAAGCUUAAGUUACUGGGUUUAUUAGCACAGUAUUUUCUU
rnacentral:tRNA from 1 species